rnacentral:rRNA from 1 species
UACAGAGGGGGCAAGCGUUGUUCGGAAUUACUGGGCGUAAAGGGCGCGUAGGCGGCCUGUUAAGUCGAACGUGAAAUCCCUGGGCUCAACCCAGGAACUGCGUCCGAUACUGGCAGGCUUGAGUGCGGCAGAGGGGGGUGGAAUUCCGCGUGUAGCAGUGAAAUGCGUAGAGAUGCGGAGGAACACCGAUGGCGAAGGCAGCCCCCUGGGCCGACACUGACGCUCAGGCACGAAAGCGUGGGGAGCAAACAGG